ensembl:lncRNA
GGACAGCGCAGCUCUGUGCCCUUCAGUGCAACCGGUGGCACUUUGUUUUUCACAGAUCCUUGGAGGUACUGCAAACCACACAGGUGUUACUCUGCUUUUUGUUUCUUUUGUUCUUCAAGCAGUAGGAAGGUCCUUCAAAGAGACUCAAUCUCCUUCAAUUAGAUUCAAGGCUAUUUUUUCAGUGAUUGUUAUACUCUCAAGAGAAAACUUCAAAAUGACUUCUACCUGGGCUUUAAGUACUGGCAAGGAUUGCAGAAAGAAUGGAGAAAGCUUUAUGAUGCUCAAGAAUUGCACCUAUGUUCAACAAAAACUCUUCAUGCAAUCCCAUCUGAAAUAUCUUCAUGGCCUGUAUCGUGUAUUUUGCACAACAAACAAACAACAUGCAGAAGCAAUUUCAAAUGUUAAUGUAAGACUUCAAUUGUUGGAGACAUUAGAUGUGAUUUUGGAUUCACUCUCAUUUAUUUUACGCAAAGUGUCACAUGGAGAAUUCUUGAAUUAGCUCAGUGCAUUUCAGUCCUAUCAGUUUGUUGUACUCUCCAAAGUUCAGUUAUGAUCUUCAGUAUCAGGGAGAAAUAUCAGUAAACAGAAGCAAGAGACUUUUUCCAUUAUUUUGGGACUGUGAAGAGAAAUGAAUGACAUAUUCAUCCAGGAUCUGUGUAGGAAGUGGAGGACAUCCUUGCCGCAUGCCAGCUCCUCUGUGCAAGAAAAGAGAAUUCCACAAGCAAAACUCAAAAAGCGUACAAGUCUGCAGCUCCAGCAGCACCCUACUGCACAAGUUACAAGCUCAGUGUUAACAGGAUAAUACGCAGAGCAUCCAGUAUCCAGCAGGAGCACAGGUACAGAACUUGACCUGAAUGUUAGCAUAAUUACUUGAAACGCUCUUGUAGUUCAAGACCGUCCCCUUCAGACAUCAUGAGAAGCCCAACUGUUCUAAAGAGCCGUGAGGGCAACAUUAAUUGCCAUACAUUUAUUAAGCAAGCAGGAGCGUGUGCAGCCAAAAAGGUGUCAUGAACAGGACAUCAUGCUGCUCCCCAGUGAUUCAGCACAGAUCUGGAGGGUUGGCUAUUAUGAGGUGAAACACAGUUUAAAUCCUUUCC